UACGUAGGGGGGCAAGCGUUGUCCGGAAUCAUUGGGCGUAAAGAGCGUGUAGGCGGCCCGGUAAGUCCGCUGUGAAAGUCCAGGGCUCAACCCUGGGAUGCCGGUGGAUACUGUCGGGCUCGAGUCCGGAAGAGGAGUGUGGAAUUCCGUGGUGUAGCGGUGAAAUGCGCAGAUAUCAGGAGGAACACCGGUGGCGAAGG
rnacentral:rRNA from 1 species